UACGUAGGGGGCAAGCGUUGUCCGGAAUCAUUGGGCGUAAAGAGCGUGUAGGCGGCCCGAUAAGUCCGCUGUGAAAGUCCAGGGCUCAACCCUGGAAUGCCGGUGGAUACUGUCGGGCUCGAAUCCGGAAGAGGUGAGUGGAAUUCCUGGUGUAGCGGUGAAAUGCGCAGAUAUCAGGGGGAACACCAAUGGCGAAGGCAGCUCACUGGGACGGUAUUGACGCUGAGACGCGAAAGCGUGGGGAGCAAACAGG
rnacentral:rRNA from 1 species